GCUUAAUUUGACUCAACACGGGAAAACUCACCCGGUCUGGACACCGGUAGGAUUGACAGAUCGAUAGCUCUUUCUCGAUUCGAUGGGUGGUGGUGCAUGGCCGUUCUUAGUUGGUGGAGCGAUCCGUCUGGUUGAUUCCGACACGUGCCUACAUAUGCAUAAAUAUAUAUAUAUACACACACACACACACCUUUAUACAUAUAUACACACACAGGCACACACUUAUAAAUAUAUAUACAAAUAUAAAUUAAUGGAUUUGCAUGAAACGAUCGUACAGCAUUACCUCUGGAUAUCCCUUGUUGC
rnacentral:ncRNA from 1 species